UACGAAGGGAGCUAGCGUUGUUCGGAAUCACUGGGCGUAAAGCGCACGUAGGCGGAUGUGUCAGUCAGGGGUGAAAUCCCGGAGCUCAACUUCGGAACUGCCUUUGAUACAGCACGUCUUGAGUCCGAUAGAGGUGGGUGGAAUUCCUGGUGUAGCGGUGAAAUGCAUAGAUAUCAGGAGGAACACCAGCGGCGAAGGCGGCACUCUGGGCUGGAACUGACGCUGAGGAGCGAAAGCGUGGGGAGCGAACAGG
rnacentral:rRNA from 1 species